rnacentral:lncRNA from 1 species
CAGGAAGUGGGGCUGGAGGAGAACGCUUUCCUGGUAAAUAUUUUUGGGUACCAGCCUUCUGGAACUGACCACAGAAAUCCCGUGGUGCUUCCGGCUUUCUUUUCAGGAAUGCACCCUCAUUUGGAGGACACCGGGUGUUCCGGUGAUGGCUGUCCCUCCAGCUGCUCUGAGAUUGUUCUCUGUGACCGUAUGCACAUAAAUACAGAGAGGCCAGGCUGUCCUGCUGUAGCAGGGGGGCUCUACUGCAUCGACUGUACCCAUUUCCACUGAAUUGUGGCACCACACGGGUUUCACAGGACAGCAUUGCACUUCAGAGGUAAUUGUCAAAAUGGGCAGAGAAAUUUCUUGUA